GACGUAGGGUGCGAGCGUUGUCCGGAUUUAUUGGGCGUAAAGAGCUCGUAGGCGGUUCGAUAAGUCGGACGUGAAAUCUCCACGCUCAACGUGGAGGGGCCGUUCGAUACUGUCGUGACUCGAGUCCGGUAGGGGAGUGUGGAAUUCCCGGUGUAGCGGUGAAAUGCGCAGAGAUCGGGAGGAACACCCGUAGCGAAGGCGGCACUCCUGGGCCGGUACUGACGCUGAGGAGCGAAAGCGUGGGGAGCAACAGG
rnacentral:rRNA from 1 species